UGAGGAAUAUUGGUCAAUGGACGAGAGUCUGAACCAGCCAAGUAGCGUGAAGGAUGACUGCCCUAUGGGUUGUAAACUUCUUUUAUAUGGGAAAUAAAAUGUUCCACGUGUGGGAUUUUGUAUGUACCAUAUGAAUAAGGAUCGGCUAACUCCGUGCC
rnacentral:rRNA from 1 species